UAUUUGUAAUAGCCAGAACCUGAAAACAACCUAGAUGCCUCUCAACUGAAGAAUGGAUAGAGUAAAUGUAGUAUAUUUACACAAUGGAGUAGUACUCAAUGGAAAAAAAUGGAUGAAACUUGAAGAAAGCAUCCUCAGUAUGGUAAAUCAGUCACAAAAGGAUAAACAUGGUAUGUACUCAUUCAUUUUUGAUUUUUUAGACAUAGAGCAAAGGAUCACUAGUCUGCAAUCCACACUCCCAGAGGAGCUACGAAACAAGGAAGACCCUAAGAGAAGAUUGCAUAGUCCCUCGAUGAAGGAGAUUGGGACAAUUACCCCUGACCAAAUUGGAGCCUGGGUGCAGGGAGAGGAAGGAGAGUCUUCAUCCAGUUGCUGUUCGAGGCAGAGGCAGACACCCAUAACUAAACACUGAACCAUACUCUUAGAGUUCAGUUGUGGAAAGAGAGGACAAAGAAUAAUUAAUUUCCUACAGACCUUAACUGAUGGAUUAGGGUAUAUUAUUACACUGAGAGUGUUCACCAGAUCCAGUAUAAUGCUUGCUGUUCAACUAUCCACAGAAAACCUGCAACACAAUAGGACUUUGCCCCAAAUGAAGUGACAGACUUUGAUGAUCCCCCAUGGAAGGCCUCACCCUCCCUGGGGAGUGGAUCAGGUGUAUGGACAGUACUGGACAAGAGUUAGAAAGAGUCCUCUAAUGCUGCAACUGGAUGGCUAACAGUUGAUGGAAAAUCCCUACAAUUAAAACUGAAACGGCAAAAGAUAAUCACUUCUGAAAGACAUCCAUUAAGAAGCAGAGGUCACAAGAGAAAGAAUUUAUAUUUUAUCUUUAAAAGAAGAUAGUGCAUUUGAUUGGAAGAAAAUUCAGAGUUAAACAAGUAAACCUGUAAGUUUCAUUGGAAACAGAAUGCAGAUGUUGGUGCAGUAAUAGUACCUGGUGUUUUGCAAAUAUGGCAUCCAUUGUGAAUCUUUCACUCAAAAGUGCUUAUGUCACUGCCCUCCUUCAGUCACAGAUUCUUCUGCUAAGCUGUCUUAUUUCCCUCAUUUAAGCAGUGACCUAGUGCACUCCUGCAAGUGUUCCCCAUGUGAUCUGCUUCCAUGUGCAUCCAUGACCCUUUCUGUUUCAGUACAUCUCUCUGAGGUGCCUUGGUAUGACCUGGUUCUAUUGUAGAAGUGUUACCAUUUUCUCUCUUGUCCUUGCAAAAAUAUUUUACCUGGGAUCUAAGUACCACUUUUGUUAUGCAAGCAACUUGAGAGUUGUCCAGUAAAACAUUCCACUUUGUUGUAAACAUAAUUCACAUUUCACUGCAGCAUAAACAUUAUCUUUUGAAAAUACAAACAACAAAACAAAACUACUAAAUCAAAACAAGCAAACAUGAAUUUCUUUGAUUGCACAGCUUAAGAGCUUUGUUUGAAAAAAAUCAAAGAAUUACCUGGUAGGGAACUAAAGAUCUUGAUAUAAGAUCUCAAAUUCUAAACUAUCAGAAGUAAAAGUACAGAGGCACUUUGUCUAGACAUAGGCAGUAACUGGAUAGGUUUCCUAUUCCUCAGGAUAUAAUGUCCCACAAUUUAAAAUGGGACUAAUGGGAAAAAAAGGCAUCAGUGGAGCAAAGUGAAUAGUUCAUGUAGAUAAGAGAAAAAAUACAGAAUGGGAGGCUUUAGUAUUUGGACAGAUAACUAAAAUAUAAAGAAUAAAUAUCAAAAAAUAAGAUAUCCCUAUGACUAAAUUAUCAACUGACACUGACAGACAAUUUGCAAAAUAACAUGAAGUACAGUUGAGCAAUGAAGUAAACUGUCGAUGGAAGUAAUUUUCACAGUUUGAAUAUGAAAUGUCCAUCAUUGGCCCACAUUUAGGAACACUUGGCCCACAGAUGACUUGCUUCAAUGGGAGCCUAUGGAAACUUCAUGUUUUGGAGGCUUGCUACAAGAUACUAAUUAAUGGGGAUGGAGCUUCAGUUCUUUGGACACUCUCGUCCUCUGUUCUUAUUCUGUGGAUUCUCUGAAAAUAGAAAGGAGACCACUCAGGGAAACAAAUAGUGUAAACAAGAGGAUUGUGGGGAACAGAACUGAGAGGAUAAGGGGAAAUGGAUAAUACAAAAAACAUUUAAUUAUACAUGUUUGAAUUUUUCUUUAUGAAAUUAAAUUAGUGAGGUGUAAAAUGAGCAUAUGCUAAAUAAUAUAAUCAAUACAUACAUAAAACUAAGUUUAAAAAUAUUAAUAAAGACAACAUUUAGAAAAUAAUAUGCUAAUGUAAUACUUUGGAAAAACAGUUCUAUAUUUGCUGGAGUACAAGGGAACUAUAAUUGUUGUCAUGUAACAAGAUGACCAAGGGAAACUACUAGGAGCUGACCUUUAAUACUACACUAUAUGUCUUUGAAAGCAAUCUCAUGUUACAUUUUUAUCUUUUUACAUCUUUAUAGAAAUGCCCUCAGGAAGUUUGUAUUACAUGGCUUGUCAAUAAAAUUACAUGACAUGAUUCAAUGUAUUUGCAUAGUAAGGUCAGAAAAUAGAGGUCCAAAGAAAUAGCACUAUUUAAAACUCUAUUUCAUGCAUCAUUUUUAAACCUAUGCCAAUGACAUUGUUAUACCAGCAUGUGGAUAGAUCAUCCUAUGAGUUCAUAUUAACCAAUCAAAGGAAAUAAAUUGCAUUUUAGCAUCAAUAUUUUACUACAGUAAAGUGUAAAUAAUUAUGUUUGAUAUGACAAGAUAAUGAAUUUUCAAAUGAUCAUUAAGAGGAUACCAAAUCUCAUGUAAAUAAUUAUAAAAAUAAGUUCUCAAGUAACCUGAAAAUGUAAUGUUUCUCACACUUAAUCUUUUAAUUAAUUUUUGUCAUCCUAUAUACAACUUUAAAACUUCUAUGAUAGCUUUAUAAAGAACACUGUGUAGCUUCCAUGAUGUGGUUAUUAAAUUAUUUUUUGAGAAUAUGUCACACAUGACAAAAAAGCAAUGGUUUAUCAAAGGAAGAAACAUUUUGCAUAAUAUUUAAAACUGUCAUUUAAAAUAUAAUCUUUUAUGUAUACCUCUAUAUGCUAUAGUGGGAAUGUGAAUAGAGAAAAGGAUUCUAAUCCAUUUUCUGAAGUUUCUGAAUAUUUCUAGAAGUUACAAUGUUCGCUGGUGUUAUAUUACAUUGUCAGAAACAUUACAUUAUCAGAAAUUACAUUUUAAGUCUCAGCUUCUCAACAGCUGAAAAAUAAACUCAUGCUAAUAAUAAAUGUCAUUGUAUAAUGGAUAGAAAACUUCCUGUAAUACAACAUGAUGCAUUAUUGAAAACUCCCUAAUUUCAAAUUGAAUUACUUUGGUAAAAUAUUUAUUAAAUAUUGCUAAGUACUGUAUUCU